UUUUGCAUGACGUCGGCCACAAAUUGAAC
rnacentral:sRNA from 1 species